GCCUGGGUGGCUCAAUCGGUUAAGCUUCUGACUUCGGCUCAGGUCAUGAUCUGGAGGUUCGCGAGUGCGAUUCCCGUGUCAGGCU
rnacentral:tRNA from 1 species